CUUUUGCUUGUUUCCUAAGAUUUUCCUUCGCUCGUGGCCUAUCAACGCAACUACCCACGCGACUACAAUCUACCUGCGACGAAAGCGGCAAUCGGCGGCGGCUACGGUGGAGAGAUGGAGAGUGUCGAUCUACUCUAGCGCUCCGGCUUGGCACCCCUUUGUGUGAUUUGAUCGCCUCCCUAUCUCUAAUGCUUCGCCUAGGGCUCUUGGGGUCUCCUUGGAUCCAACCAGGGCAUCAAUCGAUCAGCAGUUAACACUACUUGUCUUGGCAGCCGGAACCUUUGUACGUACACGGAACUACGGCAAGGAUUUGUGGAUGAGUUGAUAAAAUCAUAAAGAGGAGUCAUUGAUAUAUUUGUUGAGAAUACCACUGACGCUUGGACGGAUAUAGAGUUUGCGACAGUAGCUAUGGAUGGGCCAGCUAAUGGAAUACAGGCAGCAAAUGUGAAUAUUGAGGAGGAGAUCCGGGCCAGGCACACCGCUCGUCUCGCUGCCAAUCUGUCUCUGGAUUCGCCUGAGUCGAAGGAGGAGGAUCCAGAAGCGGACGAUGCGGCGGAGACGGCUGCGGGCUUAUGCAUGGAGGACGCCAUGGCCGGAGUUCGAGGUCGCUUAGACGGCGGACAUGGCGGAGCAGACCGCCAUCCUCGAAGCCAUCCAAGAAUGUGAUCUCAUGACGAAACUUUGCAAACGCUUUAAACAUUUGUCAAAGCUUACCACACAAAAAAAAUAUUCAAAUUUUAUGAUUUUUUAUUUUUACUUUAUUUUACUGUUCAUCAGAGCUCGUUUGAGCUCGAGCUCAGUAGGGUACUUCCGUAAUCGUCCAAGUGUUAUUGUUUA